GACAGAGGGGGCAAGCGUUGCUCGGAAUUACUGGGCGUAAAGGGCGCGUAGGCGGAAUGGCAAGUCGGUCGUGAAAUCCUUCGGCUCAACCGAAGAACGUCGAUCGAAACUGCCGUUCUUGAGGAUUGCAGAGGAGACUGGAAUUCCCGGUGUAGCGGUGAAAUGUGUAGAGAUCGGGAGGAACACCCGUAGCGAAGGCGGCACUCUGGGCCGAUACUGACACUGAGGAGCGAAAGCGUGGGGAGCGAACAGG
rnacentral:rRNA from 1 species